CAGAAAAAAAUUUCUGUGGCUGAAGGUUGCAGAAGUCCCUUGCAAAGCCAGAAAUGGAAGUCCGCAGCUAGAAAUCCUAAUCUCGAACCAUUGAGCUACCCUGGGCAGCUCUCCAUUUAUAUGGAAACACAGAUCAUAGCUGAAGGUGUUUGCAACUCAUUGCGCUGUGGAUCACAGGAGAUCUACAGUUCUCGCUGACACCUGGAGGUACAAGUACCCUUAAAAGUAUGUGAACAGUGAUCCAGAUGCAGCAAAAUCUCCGCCAGAGUAGCUGAACCCUGCUCUACUGAAGAGAUGGAAUGAGACAGCAAAGAGCCUUGACUUUGCCCACGGCACCCGCAGAGCCUGAGUGCUUCCCUGUGAGCUGGAAGGCGCUGACCUGGCAAAGCACUGUCAAGCGAAAGUGAUAGCUGCUCCUGUCACCUCCUAUCUUCUCUGCAGCUCAAGGACCAAAAGUAAAAACUCGCUGUAGAGAAGGUCCAGGGAGGAUGUCUUCAGAGUGUCUCACAGAGCCCGGUAUUGUUAUUCUCCCUACCUGCCAUAGAGGAUACAAGAAUUUGGGUCUCACUUCUCAAAAAAAUUGUAGCUGCAGCGUGAAUGUGCCUGAUAGAUGCAUUCACUGCUGGAAGGUGUUAGAUCUUUCUCACUGGUAUACGCAAAAAGGGCAGGAAACUUUGAUUGUCUCAAACAUGGAAAGUCACCAAGUCACAUUACUCCUAUUCUAAUAGGUUUCCUGUUGGCAAUCCAUAAAAUCAUAGAGGAAGUUUUUCUGACUGGUCCCACCAGAAAGAUCAGAACUACCUUGCUGAAGGAACAGGCCUGUUCUAAAUGGUGUUAAAAUUGUACAGGCAAGAUUUUGGUUUUUUUAGACAUGUUGUACUUCCCUAAUGACCAGAAUAGGACUAAUGAAUUUAAAUGCUUGGAGGAACACAGAGCUGCACAGCUUCCAGCAUCACCCAGCUGUGUUGUACACUGCUAGCUACACUGGUGAGCAGCCAUCUAAAUUGAAGCCGCCUGGGGUAGAACGCGCAGCUGGAUGUGCUAGAGAAGGUUUACCACAGGUCCAUGCCUGCUCCUUCGCUUUUAAACAUCUAUGUUUUUGUGUUAAGUUCUUCUGUGAUGAUUAUAUCUUUGUGAUGAUUAUAUCUUUGCAACACAAGUCCCCAUUUUUGCUUUGUUGAAAAGAGUCAUUACAUACUUGAUGAUUUGGAAGCUCCACUGUAACCUUUCCAAACCUUACGGCUAACAACUAACAAAAGAACAAACCCAGCACAUAACUACUUACUGUCACUUUUUGCUGCCAGCGAGAGCAAAAUAAAUCUCACAGAAGCAUACAGGCAUAGCUUUGGACUGAAGAUUUGCUUUAAAAUUAAUCUGAAAAAUAUAUAACAAGACUUUAAAACAGAUAUCUAGCCUCAUGUGAGAAUACUGGUGCUCUGAUUCACACACACCUAGAAAGAUGUGCACUAAGUGAACAGCGUUUGCACCGAGCAGGUCUCUGCUUGUGUAAAUGAAUGCAACAAUUAGAAGAAAAACUGCUGGAUCAGAAUCAACAUUAGGUCAGGGCUUAGCCUCUAUGGCACCCAUUUUGACAGGUCACCAGGCUCUUAAAGCACCUGCAGAAUCUCCAUCAAUUCUUCAGGGCCCCAGGCUGCUGGUGUCCCAGGCAGACCUCUUUCAAACAACACUACUGAAAAGCCUCUAGGCAUGAAUCCAUCCUGGAAACUAUGAUUUGCAUUGAACUGUUUCAAGAUAUUGCAGAACAGAAGAUGAGUAUGAUAUGAGCGAAAGGACUGGUCACAAGCGGCAGAUGGCAUCGUGAAUCAGUUCUGAUGACAACUUUUUGUCAAAUGUGUUUUCAACUUAACAAAAGUGACUUCCAAAACUGUCUGUUGAUAGCUCACUGUUCUGAAUUUAAUUACCCAAACAUUUCCUAUAAUUUCUUUCAACAUGGGAAUCAUGGCCUUUAGCACAAUUCUUAUCAAGAUAAUCAAGCUUUUAUUUCUUCCCAGUAGACUGGGCUAUCUGCUGUGUUAACUGGGAGAUCCCUCCAUUACAUUGUAUUAAUAGCUCUAAAGUCCAGACAAUGAGGUUACUCAAAUCCGGCAAAUACAUACUAAAUGGCAAUGUUAACAAUUUAACAAUCUAGUUACAAGCAGUAGGCUACAAAAAAAAAGUCGAGUUGUCUCUGUCUUUUCUUAGUUUUCCCCUUAAUGGUCUCAUUAGUUUUUGUAGUUGGUCAUAGUGGUUAAUGGCCUCAGCAAUAAAUACAGCGAAGAGAGGUUUUAAAUUGUCGAGGUAAAUCUGUGCUACUGGUUUGUCUUGUUAUUUUCCAUGUUGACCUCUGUUACCUUUAUUUAGGUCAUGCUCCCUUAACUUUAACUGUUUCGGAGUCUAACAGGUGAUAUCUAACUCUGAAAUAUUAAAUCUUGACCACAUACAUGCCAGGUCACUGAGUGCUCCAGGCUCCAUAAGAUGAUGUAUCAAGACCUCUAGGAUUACAGUAGCUUAAAAUCAGGAGCAUUUGAGAACAGUGACAACAAAACUGUGGUGUCUUUUCAUUUGUCUCUUGUAGUCCUGAACUUUAUUAUUCAGGUUUUGCCAGCAGCCCUAUGAUGGCCAGGGAGUCCCUUUUAAAAACACCACCACAAACCUAACAGUUUUUAUUCAAUCAUAUGAGUCUAGAAUCAGGGAGCUUAAGGGAGAAUGACAAGCAAAACAAAAAUUGCAAUCAAAUCUCAAGACUGGCGAUCAUGUGCCUGACACGAAGGUCCUUCAUCACAAUUUCAGGAUCUGUGUGCUACGAUAAAAGAUUAGUGAUAAAGAUCAUCGCAUUUUGUGCUUCCUUUCCUUUGACAGAUUUCAUGUCUGAUUCACUGUGGUGUUUAUUGAGUCCAGGGGUGUUCAGGCAGUGUACAACUGGAGUAAAACACCCAUGAAUCAUGCCUUCGACGUGCUCUUUACUGUAGCCACUAACACUUUAUAAUGUUGUCUAGAAAUCCAAAAGAAUGAUUUAGUCAAACCAUGGUUUCUAUUUCAUUUGUAUUAAACCUGGCUCUCUGCCUAAAUUCUUGGCAUUUUGAGCAGUCAACUUAAGCUAGAAUAUAUUGCUUUGUCCAUAGCAUUUGUAACCUUUAUUGAUCUGCUCAGGUAAAAGCACAGAGCAAAAGGUUUUUAUUAUUGAUGUGGAAAAUAUUACUUCUCCAUUGUUUUUCAGGCCACAAACAUCUGUCACUUUUCCUUGAUAUAUCACCUUAAGUCUUCUUUGUUCUGGUCCUAGAAAUCCCAUCUACGUUUAUUUUGUGGGAUUCAGGUGUUUUUCCAUACAGAAUCAUGGAAUAGUCUGGGUUGGAAGAAACCUUCAAAGGUCAUAAAAUCCAGCCCCCUGCAAUGAGCAGGGACAUCUCCAACUAGAUCAGGUUGCUCAGAGCCCUGUCUAGCCUGGCCUUGAAUGUCUCCAGUGAUGGGGCAUCUACCACCUCUCUGGGCAACCUGGGCCAGUGUUGCAUCACCCUUGAAUAGCUGAAUUAACACUGGCUCAUAGCACUUUCUUUGCAUCUAACUUUUGAAUACAAUAUUUUGCACGAAUACAGCUUGCCAUGCUCACCCAUCUUCUCAGACCAAUGUGAUCUUUUCCUGCAGCUUCAGGGACGCCCCUCAGGGAUUGCGCUACAUUCCCUGCAGCAGUACUGCCCCAGGGAGAACAUCCUUCUGCAGAGCACAGCAGCUCCACCACCUGCUCCUCCUCUUGUGUGCAAAGCCAAUUGGCAGCAGAGAUUGCUGUGCACAGCUUCACUUUCUGAUUUUCUCACCCCUGAUUUUAUUGCACACACCCCUCCUCUUGCUGGGCUGUGAGAGCCGAGCUUCCCCCAGCAGUGGGGAAUGGUGUAGAGGGACCCAACACCUCCACCUGCCCCAGAAGUUGUAGGUGUAUUAUCACAGCUAAUGAUUUUUGGAUUUUUUUUUUGUUUGUUUGUUUUUGUUCUGGUUGAUACUUGGUGUCUCUAGUCCCUGCAUCUGGCAGUUCCAGCUGUGCAAGUAAAAAUUUCCAUACCUGUCACAAGCCCUGUGACCCAGCAAUAGCAGGGAAGCUUGCUUGGUGCCUCCACCCUGCCAGAGCCACCAUCCCAGAUGCCCUCUUUGCUCUUAUGACUUCUGAGGCAGAAGAAGCCUCCCAAGGUUUUCGGUCAGUGCAUGGCUGUCAUGUCUGAUACACAUCAGAGUGAUACCUUCAACAAGUGCAUUUUCUUAUGCCAUUUGUUGAUUUCUCCUUUCUAAUUCCACCUGCUGAGACCCAAACUGUUGCCACAUCAGUCACAGAGGCCACAUCAGUCACUGGCUAUUAUCUGUGUCUGAGGAUAGUUUCUUUAGUUACCAGCAUUUGAAACAACUACAGAUUGUUACUUUUCUAUUUGUGUUCUCUUUGUAUGACUAUGCAUUCAGGCCAUUCAUUUUAAUUGUUCAUUCCUGUCUGGGCUAUAUGCAAGUUUGUGUAUAUGUUUGCAUAUUGAGGGUGAUAUCAUUUAUCCUUGUACAAUCAUGGUUUGUGUGCCUGUGUGCAUACAAGUAGGUUAAUGCAUUCAUUUCUUCAUACAUGUGCAGCAUGUUUCUGCCAGUGUUAGGUGAUGAUGAGCUAAUGUGGUUUGUUCUGCAUGCAGUAUGCCUCCACCUGCAUGUUAAUCCUUCUCAGCAGACUGUCGUUUGAAUCAUACAUUAUGUAAGGAAGGCAGCACUGCUUCCCAGUGGAGAACAUUUAUUUUAGGUUUUAGUUUUCAGAAAUGAAUUCAAGAUGAUACUCCAUCAUUAUGAAAGAAAAAAAAAAGUUUUCCCUGACUGAAGUAUUUACUCGUCUUGGAAGCCAUGUCAUGUGUAGCAGUGAAGAACAUCUCUAGAUCCAGUGGAUGGGAUCCAUUUCAUCUGUUAUUUGCCAUCAUAAAGUCAGACUGGUCGUCGUGGCACUUUCUGUAGUCAGUGAAGAAAAUGCAGAUCUGGAGACUCCCUCUGUAGUCAUCCCAUCCUACAACGGAUGCCUAAAGCAGUUGGGAGGACAGCAGUCUAAGGACAGAUGUUUGUAGUAGGCCACUGGAGCUUGCUGGUUUUUGCUUUUCUUAUGUAGGAGGAGAGUUUUACUCACCUCUUUAUCUGCUGAAGUGAGUUCGGGGACUCCAGAAAAGCAAAAACAGCUAAACUGAACUAGCAGCCAUUCUCUUGAUAUGUUUAAUGACCACAAUUAUCCUUGCAUGCAGUUUUUUUCAAGUCUAGACAUGGCCCACAUUGGAUGGAAGGCAUUAAAGGGAAUUGACUAGAAAAUGUGAACUGUAAAGAGCUCAGGCAUUUAAUAGCAUAGAACCUGGAUGGAAGUUUCAACAGAGGAACUGUGGACACAAGACUAACCCCAAAGCCAAAGAAAUACAGUCCCCUUGAAUUUAUGGGCUUGUAUGUGAUCCUACAGGUGAAUGAUGAUUAACUUGGAAAUAAUGAAAUAAUUUUUAGUACAGAUGCAAGGCCAACAGCUCAUGUUUGUAUCAGCCUGGAACUGCUGAGCAGACAAAUGGGACAUCAGUGCUACAGCACUGGUAAGCCUGACAUGGAACGUAAAGCAGCUAUCCCCGAAGGAAUAUGAAGAUGCUCAUUAAAAGUAAUAAGAGUCCAGGAAAUGAACAAUUAAUACCCACUUUUUUUUUAUGAUUUCCCCAGAGUAUUUGUGAAAGAUAGAAAUCCCAGGCAAAACCUCAUACCUUUUGUAGCUGUUAAGACAUAAACCAGACACAUAUUUGGACUAAGCAAAACUACAGGAUGUUUAUUAUCCAGUGGAACUAGAACACCAAAAAGGUCUUGGAAGUCUAAUAGGAUUAUUGAAUUCGAACAAAAGGGAAAAAGAUGAGCUUUUCCUUUUUUGCUUUGAUGAGCUUGAGACAAUCAGAAACUCGAUGGACUGGGGGGAACACACUUGUUUAUAAAACACAAGUUGUUUUUUUUUUAUGAGCAUCAAGUUGCUGAUAUACAUAUAAAUUAUAGAAGUGAACACUUUUUAUGUUUUAAACCUCUCUGUUUAAGUAGGAUUUUUUAUAUAUGAUCAUAUUACAGUUUAUUUUUUGCGCAGGGUACCAGAAUGGUAUAAUUUGGGGGAAGUAAUUGCCAAUACUUAUUUUUAAGGGCUGAGAUAUUUUUUUUCUUUUGGUGAGUAUUUCACUGGACUUUGGGUGGAACUGAAUCCAGAUCCAUGUUUUAAUAAGAAUGUUUUGGAUUGGUCUGAUUAUACUACUAUAAAUAUGGAAAUGCUUCAGAUUAAUACUUUUGUUUGGUUGGUUUUUUUUUACAGCAGUAAUGCCCAAUCUGUCUUAGGCAUGCCUUAUAGCUGUAGCUUUUCCUUGCCAUUAUACUAUCUUUUCCUUUUUUCCUCCAUCAUUCCAUGACCCAUGACUCCUCCAUGUCCCUGCCUUCUGAGAUCUAUAGCACUAUAAUCCCUUACUACCAAGCAGCAUGUUCUUUUUCUCUGAGAUGUGAACCUGGGAGUGAAAAAGAAAAUAAAGAAGAAACAUAAACUUAA